CUGCCUUGGAAUUUCACAGGUGGCAUCAUUUUCUUCCGUUUCUCUUCGUGUUUGUUCUCUCUUCUGGUUUUGCUCGAAAUCGGCAGCUAAUUCACAGCCUACCUUUCCCCAAAAUUCAAUGAGAUCAAAUUAAAUUACACUAAAUUAAAGGUAGGUGAUAGUACAAGGUAAUCCAUGGAGGACAAGAAUCGGGUUUCUAAUUCUAACCCUGAAGCUCCAGGAAUUCUCAAUUUGGGGGCUAGGGUUUCUGAUAUUUCCAAUUCUCUCCAGGUAAUUGUUUGUUCCUUCUAGUUAGAAUUAUUCAAUUCUCUUAUUUUGUUGUCUCCUUAUUUGGGGGAUUUGAUUGAGCUAGCGAUUUAAGUGUGAUAAAGUUCUUAAUUGGGGUUUGGUCUUGAUUUAGGUCUUGUUAAGAGAGAAAUCAAUGGCUUAUGUGAUAAGUUUGAAUCAGAUGAGCCAGUAAGAUUUCAAAAUUAAGCAUUUUCCGAACUGAAAUUAUUAGGGUUUUUUUUUUUUUUGAUUGAGAAGAGUUUUCCUUGUUUUGGAUUGGGAAAAUGAUUAUCUUUUAACAUUGUCAACAACCUUCAACGGUAAAUAUAACCCCUUUUUUUAACGGUCAACAGUACAUAUAACCCUGUGUCACUAUUAAAGGAAAAAAAGGAGAACAAACAAAA
rnacentral:lncRNA from 1 species